CAGAGUAGACAAGACAUAUUAUCCAAAUCCGGUAUGAUAAUAUUACCUUAAGCAUUAUUCAGCUAAUAACAGUUAUGUAAUUUGUAUAUUCAAGCAUGCUCAUAUAAGGAAAAAUUAUUUGAAAGUACUUCCAAGUGUUAAAUUGCAGACGAACAGAGGAUAUUGUGAAAGUGAAAAAGAAACUUUUAUAGACAAUGACGUCGGCACGCCUAAUCAUUAUUUUUGUGCUGCUUUUGAUUUUACAUGUAGGAUUAAAUGUAGGAUUAUAUGAAGUAAUGGCUGAAGACAGUGAUGGAAACAGCGUAAGAUUGAUUGUAAAACGAAGUCUGUUAUGGGGAACACGGCGAUAUGGAAUUUACAAUUUACGAUCCAGGGGAAGAAGACGUCCCAGUUCAAGACGAAAAUGGAGUUAACUGUGCAAUUUCUCGUCAAUAAAGCAAACAUUUAUAAUAAAAAAAAAUGGCGUAUGAAUCAUAUACUGUAAAACGAGAAUAAUUGGCGCAUUACUAAUUUUAGUGCCUUUGGUGCAAGAGCCACUGAACGCUAAAAUUUAUUGUGCGCUAAUGGAUUUCUAAAUAUUUUUUGUGCAUGUUUAAAGCUUUCACAUUACCACAUUUAAACUGUAACGCGCGAUUACGUAGUCUCGAAGGGGUCGUUGGAUUUUAUAUAUACACACUAAGACUGUACAUGGUAGGAUCGUUCAAGACAGUUUUGCUAAAUUCUAAUACUAGGUACCUAUUAUUAGCAACUUCAAAAUUUGGCUUCUGGACGUGUCAAUUACUAGUACCUAUCACUUCGAGAUAAGAAGACAUGUACAUUAUUAUGAUAUAUAACCGUUCUUCCAAGUUCGGUUAACUUUACCGUGGUUUUGCAAUCACAUGGACGUGAUAACUAAAAAAAUGGUUGUCUGGACUGGUGCAAAAAUAUUUCAAGAAAUUGUAAACCUUCUGUAAUGUUUAAAAAUCUCUCCUUCUGAAACCAUCCUUAUUAAACUAAACAAGUUUUUUUUUUACUUCAAAUCCCAUUUUUGUGAAACUUUGAAUAAAGAAUUAAAAAAUA